rnacentral:snRNA from 1 species
AAGUGUUAAAUCUCUUUUAGUAUUUGCCUAGCAGUUCUUUUGUUCUGCAUUGGAAGUCCCCU